UGAGGAAUAUUGGUCAAUGGACGAGAGUCUGAACCAGCCAAGUAGCGUGAAGGAUGAAGGUUCUAUGGAUUGUAAACUUCUUUUAUACGGGAAUAAACGAAUCCACGCGUGGAUUUUUGCAUGUACCGUAUGAAUAAGGAUCGGCUAACUCCGUGCCAGCAGCCGCGGUAAUACGGAGGAUCCGAGCGUUAUCCGGAUUUAUUGGGUUUAAAGGGAGCGUAGAUGGGUUGUUAAGUCAGUUGUGAAAGUUUGCGGCUCAACCGUAAAAUUGCAAUUGAUACUGGCAGUCUUGAGUACAGUUGAGGUAGGCGGAAUUCGUGGUGUAGCGGUGAAAUGCUUAGAUAUCACGAAGAACUCCGAUUGCGAAGGCAGCUUACUAACCUGUAACUGACAUUGAUGCUCGAAAGUGUGGGUAUCAAACAGGAUUAGAUACCCUGGUAGUCCACACGGUAAACGAUGAAUACUCGCUGUUUGCGAUAUACAGCAAGCGGCCAAGCGAAAGCGUUAAGUAUUCCACCUGGGGAGUACGCCGGCAACGGUGAAACUCAAAGGAAUUGACGGGGGCCCGCACAAGCGGAGGAACAUGUGGUUUAAUUCGAUGAUACGCGAGGAACCUUACCCGGGCUUAAAUUGCAGAUGAAUUACGGUGAAAGCCGUAAGCCGCAAGGCAUCUGUGAAGGUGCUGCAUGGUUGUCGUCAGCUCGUGCCGUGAGGUGUCGGCUUAAGUGCCAUAACGAGCGCAACCCUUGUUGUCAGUUACUAACAGGUUCCGCUGAGGACUCUGACAAGACUGCCAUCGUAAGAUGUGAGGAAGGUGGGGAUGACGUCAAAUCAGCACGGCCCUUACGUCCGGGGCUACACACGUGUUACAAUGGGGGGUACAGAGGGCCGCUACCACGCGAGUGGAUGCCAAUCCCAAAAACCUCUCUCAGUUCGGACUGGAGUCUGCAACCCGACUCCACGAAGCUGGAUUCGCUAGUAAUCGCGCAUCAGCCACGGCGCGGUGAAUACGUUCCC
rnacentral:rRNA from 1 species